rnacentral:tRNA from 1 species
GGAGGCGUGGCUGAGCGGUCUAAAGCGACACGGUGCUAACGUGUUAAGGGCCAAAAGCUCUUCGCAGGUUCGAAUCCUGCCGCCUCCGCCA